GAUGAACGCUAGCGGCAGGCCUAAUACAUGCAAGUCGAACGGUGUCUUCGGACAUAGUGGCGCACGGGUGCGUAACACGUAUGCAACCUACCUUACAUUGGGGGAUAGCCUUUCGAAAGGGAGAUUAAUACCGCAUAAGACAGUAGCUGGGCAUCCAGCAGCUGUUAAAGAUUUAUCGAUGUAAGCUGGGCAUGCGUCCAAUUAGCUAGUUGGUGAGGUAACGGCUCACCAAGGCAAUGAUUGGUAGGGGAACUGAGAGGUCAAUCCCCCACACUGGCACUGAGAUACGGGCCAGACUCCUAUGGGAGGCAGCAGUAGGGAAUAUUGGGCAAUGGACGCAAGUCUGACCCAGCCAUGCCGCGUGCAGGAUGAAGGCGUUAUGCGUUGUAAACUGCUUUUAUACAGGAAGAAACGACUCUUGCGAGAGGCAUUGACGGUACUGUAUGAAUAAGCACCGGCUAACUCCGUGCCAGCAGCCGCGGUAAAAC
rnacentral:rRNA from 1 species